rnacentral:lncRNA from 1 species
AAAAUUUCGACAUUAAAGCACCAAUGAAAAAUUGAAAUCAACCAACACAUGAGGAAGUCCGAACCAGCUUACGCGCUCCUCGACUAAUCCCACAGGGACUUGAAGAGGAAGUAUUCACACUUGAAGCUCAAGUAGUCACAUACAGGAAAGAAGUUUCAUUAGUACUGAUAAGUGCGUUUUUGUGCACUUAUUUAAUGCACAAACAUGACUAAAUUACGAGCAAAAUAUUUGAAUUGUGGCUUAAAUUCGUUCAAUUCUUGAAUUGUAGGGUUUUUUGAUGGAUUUGAUGGAAUUCACGAGAAAAAGAAGCAAAAAGGACCAAAACAAAUCAACGUGAUAAUUCAGGGUCCAAAGUGCAAAUAUCCAAAAGAUAAGCCAAAUGAGCAAUCAAAAGAUUUCUAAUGCCAAGUACUAAUUGGAGAUCAAUAUGAGAUGAUGGAACAAAAGAGUCGAAGAAAAGAGGUCAAGAAAUAAGAAGAUUGAAUUUGGGGACUAAAAUGACGCAAAAAGAAAAUUUCCACCAUGCGACCGCAUGGAAUAUAAUCAUUCUGCCACACAACCACCAUCCGAGAUUUAAAUCUAGGCAAUUGACUCUACCAUGCGACCGCAUGGAUUAAUACUAUGCGGCCGCAUGGUAAAAAUCUAUGUCGCGAAUCUGCAGUUUCCCUUUUUCAUUAUAAUUCUUUUGAAACUCGAUUGGGAAGUGAUAUAAAAAUUUAGAGCCGUCAUAUUUCGGGGCAGAAUGCAUUGGGAGGCAAUAAACCACAUAUUGGAGAAGAUUUUGAGUACAAGUAACGAAGAAUUUCACGAAGAUUUAUCAAGAAUUCAUAAGCCGGUGAUGCGCUUUCUUCAAUCUACUAUGUAUUUUGAUUCUUUCUCCAUGUUAGGCUAUAUUUUUAUAUACUAGGAGAUCGAUGAACCUUGUGAUGUAAUCUUUAAUUUUCUAGUUUUGCAAUUUGACUUUAAG